UAUUCAAUAGUGAAAUCAUCACCUAACCUUUUCAAGGUUAAAUUGUAUUAUCCUAAUACUUGAAUUU
rnacentral:tRNA from 1 species